GGAUGAAGAACGUAGCGAAAUGCGAUACGUAAUGUGAAUUGCAGAAUUCAGUGAAUCAUCGAGUCUUUGAACGCACAUUGCGCCCCCUGGUAUUCCGGGGGGCAUGCCUGUCCGAGCGUCAUUGCUGCCCAUCAAGCACGGCUUGUGUGUUGGGUCGUCGUCCCCUCUCCGGGGGGGACGGGCCCCAAAGGCAGCGGCGGCACCGCGUCCGAUCCUCGAGCGUAUGGGGCUUUGUCACCCGCUCUGUAGGCCCGGCCGGCGCUUGCCGAACGCAAAACAACCAUUUUUUCCAGGUUGACCUCGGAUCAGGUAGGGAUACCCGCUGAACUUAAGCAUAUCAAUAAGCGGAGGA
rnacentral:misc_RNA from 1 species